rnacentral:tRNA from 2 species
GGUCGUCGAGCUGAGUCCAUUGUGUAAUUUCCUUAUCGGUCAGCCACACGAAGAGCGUUCCCUUCACACGGGAGAGGUCCAAGGUUCGAUCCCUUGUGCGCCCACCA